GUAGUUGACUCGUGCACGAGACACGCUGGCGGCGUGCUUAACACAUGCAAGUCGAACGAUGAACCGCUUUCGGGCGGGGAUUAGUGGCGAACGGGUGAGUAACAUGUGGGCAAUCUGCCCUGCACUCUGGGACAAGCCCUGGAAACGGGGUCUAAUACCGGAUACUCACUGCCUUGGGGCAUCCAAGGUGGUGGAAAGCUCCGGCGGUGCAGGAUGAGCCCGCGGCCUAUCAGCUAGUUGGUGAGGUAAUGGCUCACCAAGGCGACGACGGGUAGCCGGCCUGAGAGGGCGACCGGCCACACUGGGACUGAGACACGGCCCAGACUCCUACGGGAGGCAGCAGUGGGGAAUAUUGCACAAUGGGCGAAAGCCUGAUACAGCGACGCCGCGUGAGGGAUGACGGCCUUCGGGUUGUAAACCUCUUUCAGCAGGGAAGAAGCGAGAGUGACGGUACCUGCAGAAGAAGCGCCGGCUAACUACGUG
rnacentral:rRNA from 1 species